GACAGAACAUGAACAGGACUCACAGACUGACAACUCAUGAUUAACUCUGUGGGAAGUGGUGCAUGGCCAUUCUUAAUUGGUGGAAAAGUCUGGUUAAUUCCGAUAUUGAAUGAGACUCUGGUGCGAAAACUAGUUAUGUGAUCCCUGAGGAGUU
rnacentral:ncRNA from 1 species